rnacentral:rRNA from 1 species
GGUUUAGCAAAUGGGAUUAGAUACCCCAGUAGUCCACGCCGUAAACGAUGGGUAUUAACUACUUGAAUUUCUUGGGUAGUGAAGCUAACGCAUUAAAUACCCCGCCUGGGUAGUAUAUAUGCAAAUAUGAAACUCAAAGAAAUUGACGGGGACCUGAACAAGUGGUGGAGCAUGUUGCUUAAUUCGAUAAUACACGAAAAACCUUACCAAGGCUUGUAAUCCUCUGCAACGUUGUAGAAAUACAAUAGAGGCUAUCAGAGUGACAGGUGGUGCAUGGCUGUCGUCAGCUCGUGUCUUGAGAUGUUUGGUUAAGUCCCGUAACGAGCGCAACCCUACGUACUAGUUAAAUAGUUCUAGUAUGACUGAAUCGUAAGAUCUAGGAAGGAUGGGGUGAAGUCAAGUCAUCAUGCCCCUUAUGUCUUGGGCUGCAAACGUGCUACAAUGGUAGAUACAAUGUGUUAC